rnacentral:snoRNA from 1 species
AUUCCACGAUGAGGAUAGGUGGCGACGUAUUCCUGCAGUCUUUCCCAUGCUUCCAGGAUCGUUUCAUCUUUUGUCUGCUGGAAAUUGGAUAUUCUUCCACGAAGGGC